GACGUAGGAGGCGAGCGUUGUCCGGAUUCAUUGGGCGUAAAGAGCGCGCAGGCGGCUUGGUAAGUCGGAUGUGAAAUCCCGAGGCUCAACCUCGGGUCUGCAUCCGAUACUGCCCGGGCUAGAGGUAGGUAGGGGAGAUCGGAAUUCCUGGUGUAGCGGUGAAAUGCGCAGAUAUCGGGAAGAACACCCGUGGCUAAGGCGGCUCUCUAGUACGGUACUGACGCUGAGACGCGAAAGCGUGGGGAGCGAACAGG
rnacentral:rRNA from 1 species